rnacentral:lncRNA from 1 species
UAAAUUGACCAAUUUCAUGGACCAAUUGAUAUCGGAUUGAGUCCAAAACUUGGGGAACAUGAUAAUAUGGUGGGAGGAGUCAUUUGGUGGGUUUUGAGUGAAAUCAAAACUCUAGAACUAUGCGAUACACCAACCACUCCAUUUGAGAACGAACUUCGUACGAACCUAAAUUGCCUAAUUUCAUGUACCAAUUGAUUUCGGAUUGAGUCCAAAACUUGGGGAAAAUCAUAAUAUGAUGGGUGGAG